GCCGGGGUGGCGGAAUUGGCAGACGCGCUGGCUUUAGGAGCCAGUGUCCGCGAGGACAUGCAGGUUCGAUUCCUGUCCCCGGCA
rnacentral:tRNA from 1 species